rnacentral:sRNA from 1 species
AAAAAAAUAUAAUAAUAUUUUAUUAUGAUUUAGUUUCUGUCCAAUUAUAAACACACAUAUACACAUAGUCUCUCAAUCAUUACUCGAAAGUUUUUCUGCAGAGAAACUAUUCUCAAUCUCUCUUCUAUCUCUCUCCUACUCUAUUAUUAUUUUAUAUUUUUUAGUUAAUAAGAAACUAUGUGACAGACUACUAAUGGAGAUGCUCUUAUUAUCUAGUUGUGAAUUUUGUAGAAUUGACAUAUGUAUUAUACACAACUAGUUAUGAAUCUAGAUUUUUUAAAAGAUUUUAUAAGGAUUAA